AUUGAAGAGCUGAAAGGUGCGUGCCGCAAUUCUGUUACUUGGUGCUUGUUUUUCUAUUGCACACAAGAUAUGGUCAGCCGUCAAUAAAGUCGUUUUCAAAUGAGGGUAUGUACAUGGAGUAUGGAGGCCUGAGAAUAAACUAGCCCGACUUGGAUGAUAUAUCGUUGCUUCCACUUCCUUGCACUCAAAAGCUCUUGCCAAUACAUUAUACUCAUUUCGUUCUGGAUGUUAUCCCUAAUUGGAGGCUCCAUGAGCAAAAGCCCUAAAGUUAGGUGGAAGCAGUGGGAGCACCCUGAAGAAAGCGGCUUUUUGGACGAAAGGAAACUCGUUGUCGCCUGGUGGAUACUCGUACCAGAUCAAAUGGUGGAAUCAGCUGGACUGAUCAUGCAAAGUGGACCCUAUGCCCUUAAGAGCUUUUAUUUGCACUUGUUAAAUCCAGUUACAUAGAUUUGCUUGCUGUUGGUAUUGCUCUCACCUACAAGGUAGAUUUCCAAGUACUUGAUUUUUGGAUGGAAAUGAUUGUAUUUUGUAGUGUUUCCUCAGUAGCUGUUGCAGAAAAGAAGUGGUGGGUGUUAGAGCAAGUAUAGUAGCUUGCGGACUCGUGGGAUUUGGGGUCCGCUAUUAGGUGAUUACCAUGUUGAUGUGAUGGGUGGUUGAGGGAUGCUCAACUCAUCAUUUCGCCCUAGCAUAGACUGUUUAUCUGUCCAUCUUUCUCAUUAACAUGGCCCGCCCCAUGAGUAGAAUUGAUCUUAUUUCUCCAUCAGGACAUGCUAAUGCUAGGGUCCAUCUGAGGAAUGACCUGGAUCUCACACAUGUGCUACAUUGGUACAUCUGCAAAUUACUCCCAUUUCUGCUUACUGUAAUCCUGUUAGCACCUGGCAUUGAGUUCUACUCAGAAAAUGAAUUCUUGCCAGCAUGCAGCCGCAGCACAUGCAGAUAGUUAACAUGACGAGCUAGCCAGAGAUCCAUCAACUCAUAUGGGUCCGCUGAUCAGGUGUGCCAAAACUCAUCAAACAGAUGGAUUGCCAAAU